rnacentral:rRNA from 1 species
CUUAUGAUUUGGGCUACACACGUGCUACAAUGGACAAUACAAAGGGCAGCGAAACCGUGAGGUCAAGCAAAUCCCAUAAAGUUGUUCUCAGUUCGGAUUGUAGUCUGCAACUCGACUACAUGAAGCUGGAAUCGCUAGUAAUCGUAGAUCAGCAUGCUACGGUGAAUACGUUCCCGGGUCUUGUACACACCGCCCGUCACACCACGAGAGUUUGUAACACCCGAAGCCGGUGGAGUAACCUUUUAGGAGCUAGCCGUCGAAGGUGGGACAAAUGAUUGGGGUGAAGUCGUAACAAGGUAGCCGUAUCGGAAGGUGCGGCUGGAUCACCUCCUUU